rnacentral:tRNA from 1 species
GUGUUAACAAAUCGGUUAUGUAGUGGAUUGCAAAUCCAUUUAGUCCGGUUCGAUUCCGGAACACGCCUUCA